UUGAGGGGGCCGAAGGGAUGGUGAGAGCUGAGGGGAUCAGAGAAUAUUCUGAAUUGGAAGGGUCCCACAGGGAUUAUCAAAUCCAGCUCCUUAUGUGAAUGGCCCAUAAGGGGAUCAAACCCACGAUCUUGGUGUUGUCAGCACCGUGCUCCAACCAGCCGAGCUGACCCCGGGAUCAUGGAGAGUGCUGAGGGGAUGGCGAGGGAUGAGGGGAUGGUGAGGGAUGAGGUCAUGCUGCCUAGGCCCAUUUCUCAUUAUAAUUCCCUCUCUCUCAGGCCACAGUGUAUUAACCAGUCACUAUCCAAAAUCAGGAGCUAGCCAGGUAAGGUAAGCAGGACGCAGGACUUCAGAGCUGAAACUUUCUUAACAAAAUGACCGGGAUGAAUUAACCUGAGUACAAGCAAAUCCUUUACAUUUUGGAAUAGGUAUAUAAUCCCAUUAGCCUUUUCUCUGUAAAUUUAAUUGCUGCUUCAAAGUCUUGCAUGGUUAUUGAGCCUUACCUUAUCAGACAGGAAUCUGUUCAAGAGAUACCAGGUUCCAGAGCCUCAUGACAGCCACCAGCAUCUGUGAACUCUGAAUCACCUGCGCGAUAGUGGCUCUCAGGCUGAAAAACAUAUCAGUGGAACUGCUGAAGGAGAACUUGGAAGGUGCUGCUCCAUAACUGAGUAAAAUACAGAUGGUUUCUCAGCAAGAAUCUUAUAGAAGGAAGGAAUGAAAGAAGGAAGGGAAGGAUCACUAAUCCCAAAAAGCCAGAUGAGGUCAGUGUUACCAGCAGAAGCCACACAGCACGAUGCUGGUAGCCUCAAGUGCACCUGAAUGCUCAAACCAUCUGCGCCCCAUGUCCCAACCCCUCCCUCCCAGAGAGGAGCAGCAGAAAGAAAUGAAACAACUGCAGCUGAGGAGGGCGAGGAGUUCAGGAAGGCUCUAAUCUCAUGAACUCGCUGGAGGGGGGAAUGGGGUGAGAAGAGCUUGUUCUUCCUUGCUGAGAAAUAGGUUUGUCACAAGCAAACUUCGUCAAAGUGCCUGAGCACUGCUGUGUUUCUGCUGAUGUGGCAUGUAGUGGUGCUUGAUGGACUUUUGGAUGACCCCAAAUUUUAGGAGCCUGGGUAUCUCUCAGUUGCAUAAGUUGGUAUCAAAGUGCAAGAAUGUCUGGAAGUAGGCUGGUGAAUGGCAAGACUCAUCUUUCAAAAGAGAAUUUUCUUUUGCAUUUCACAUGACUCUUUGUCAGCAAGUUCAUGCUGUUAAAAAGAUCUGGGAAAGUGGAAAACAGACUUGCCACUAUUAGAAUAGUUUAGAAGCUUCAAAUUUGCUGUGUCAGUUCCCAUGUCCAAAAUGGAAAUGUCUUAAAGUUUCUUGAUUCUUAAUUAUUAGAAGAAUAUAAAAACACCUUGCAUGUGUUGCAUAUUGGAAGUUGGAACAGACACCAAGAGGGACAACUACAUGCCUAAACAUGAAAAGUUUAAACUAGUUGGGAUGAAUCUGUGCUCCAUGUCUGUCUGCUCUGUGUUUUGGCAGUGGGUAGGGGUGACUUCUCUGUGUCUUUUGUCUUUUGUGCUGGAAGGCUCCGCUUUGUCUCUGGUGUCACGAGUGAUGCUCCCUGGCUGGCAUGUGCCGUGUGCUUAUCUGAAUUGCCCACAGCUCGUUAAUGCUCCUCGGGCUAAUUACUGCCUCAUUAAUCACUUGCAAUCCGUUUAUGUACUCACGCUGUUUUCCUGCUUUUAGUGUGUUUGCAUUAGAAAAUGUGUUUCUAUGAAAUGCCGUGUAUGGAAUGGUUUAUAGCAGGAAAUAGAUAUAAAAGAGCAGUUCUGUCGUUCCAAGUAAAAUCCUCACGUGCCAGAGACCAAACAUCCCAGAAGAUACUGGGGAUACUCCUGUGAGCUUCUCCCUGUGCUGAGCUGUGCUUCAGGCUGUCCUGACUCUGGACCAGAGGAACAUAAAAAUAAUAUACAACUUAAAAACCA